UAAGGAAUAUUGCUCAAUGGGAGAAAUCCUGAAGCAGCAACGCCGCGUGGAGGAUGAAGGGUUUUUAACUUGUAAACUCCUGUAAAGAAGGAAAAAAUUCCCAUUAGAUGGGAAAUGAUGGUACUUCUGGAGUAAGCCCCGGCUAACUACGUGCCAGCAGCCGCGGUAAUACGUAGGGGGCAAGCGUUGUCCGGAUUUACUGGGUGUAAAGGGUGCUCAGGCGGAUUUGUAAGUCAGAGGUGAAAUCUCACAGCUUAACUGUGAAACUGCCUAUGGUACUGCAAGCCUAGAGUAUGGAAGAGAGUGAUGGAAUAUCUGGUGUAGCAGUGAAAUGCGUAGAUAUCAGAUAGAACACCAAUGGCGAAGGCAGUCACUUGGUCCAUAACUGACGCUAAAGCACGAAAGCGUGGGUAGCAAACAGGAUUAGAUACCCUGGUAGUCCACGCCCUAAACGAUGAAUACUAGAUGUUGGCUUCGCAUGAAGUCAGUAUCUGAGCUAACGCAUUAAGUAUUCCACCUGGGAAGUACGAUCGCAAGGUUGAAACUCAAAUGAAUUGACGGGGUCAUAGCUGUUUCCUG
rnacentral:rRNA from 1 species